rnacentral:rRNA from 1 species
GAUGAACGCUGGCGGCGUGCCUAAUACAUGCAAGUCGAGCGAACGGACGAGAAGCUUGCUUCUCUGAUGUUAGCGGCGGACGGGUGAGUAACACGUGGAUAACCUACCUAUAAGACUGGGAUAACUUCGGGAAACCGUAGCUAAUACCGGAUAAUAUUUUGAACCGCAUGGUUCAAAAGUGAAAGACGGUCUUGCUGUCACUUAUAGAUGGAUCCGCGCUGCAUUAGCUAGUUGGUAAGGUAACGGCUUACCAAGGCAACGAUGCAUAGCCGACCUGAGAGGGUGAUCGGCCACACUGGAACUGAGACACGGUCCAGACUCCUACGGGAGGCAGCAGUAGGGAAUCUUCCGCAAAGGGCGAAAGCCUGACGGAGCAGCGCCGCGUGAGUGAUGAAGGUCUUCGGAUCGUAAAACUCUGUUAUUAGGGAAGAACAUAUGUGUAAGUAACUGUGCACAUCUUGACGGUACCUAAUCAGAAAGCCACGGCUAACUACGUG